rnacentral:lncRNA from 1 species
UAUUGCUAUCACGUUGGCGUCGUUGUCGUCGUCGUCGUCGUCCGAAUACUUUUAGUUUUCGCACUCUAACUUUAGUAAAAGUGAAUAGAAAUCUAUGAAAUUUUAACACAAGGUUUAUGACCACAAAAGGAAGGUUGGGAUUGAUUUUGGGAGUUUUGGUCCCAACAUUUUAGGAAUUAGGGGCCAAAAAGGGCCCAAAUAAGCAUUAUUCUUGGUUUUCGCACAAUAACUUUAGUUUAGGUAAAUAGAAAUCAAUGAAAUUUAAACACAAAGUUUAUGACCACAAAAGGAAGGUUGGUAUUGAUUUUGGGAGUUAAGGUCCCAAUAGUUUAGGAAUUAAGGGCCAAAAAGGGACCCAAAUAAGCAUUUUUCUUGGUUUUCGCACCAUAACUUUAGUAUAAGUAAAUAGAAAUCUAUGAAAUUUAAACACAAGGUUUAUGACCAUAAAAGGAAGGUUGGUAUAGAUUUUGGGAGUUUUGGUCCCAACAGUUUAGGAAUAAAGAGCCC